ACGGCUCAGUAACACGUAGAUAAUCUACCCUUGAGUGAAGGAUAAGCACGGGAAACUGUGUCUAACACUUCAUAUGGGAUUCGACCUGGAAAGGUAUUUCCCUGAAACUCGUGCUCAAGGAUGAGUCUGCGGAUGAUUAGCUUGUUGGUGAGGUAACUGCCUACCAAGGCAAUGAUCAUUACGGGCUCUUAGCGAAGUUGCCCGGAGAAGGAAUCUGAGACACUAUUCCUAGCUCUACGGAGUGCAGCAGUCGCGGAACUUUUACAAUGCGCGCAAGUGUGAUAAAGCGAACCAAAGUGUUUCUCGUUUAGAGAAACUUUUUCUUACUGUAAAAAUGUAGGAGAAUAAGGACUGGGAAAGACUGGUGCCAGCCGCCGCGGUAAUACCAGCAGUUCAAGUUGCAUCCCUUUUUAUUGGGUCUAAAACAUCCGUAGCUUGCCGUAUAAGUCUCUUGUGAAAUCUCACGUCUCAAGCGUGAUGAAGUGCAGGAGAUACUGUUCGGCUAGAGAUCGGUAGACGUAAGGAGUACGCCGGAGGUAGUGGUAAAAUACGUUAAUCUUCGGUGGACUAACAAUGAGCGAAGGCACCUUACGAGGACGAAUCUGACAGUGAGGGAUGAAGGCCAGGGGCGCAAAACGGAUUAGAUACCCGUGUAGUCCUGGCAGUAAACACUGCUCACUAAACAUCGGGCCCUCUUCGGGAGGAUUCGGUGCUGAAGCGAAGGCGAAGAGUGAGCUACCUGGGAAGUAUAGUCGCAAGAUCGAAACUUAAAGGAAUUGGCGGGGGAGCACA
rnacentral:rRNA from 1 species